GACAGAGGUGCCAAGCGUUAGGCGGAAUCACUGGGCUUAAAGCGUGUGUAGGCGGAAUUGUAAGUACCUUGUGAAAUCCCACGGCUCAACCGUGGAACUGCUCGGUAUACUGCUUUUCUUGAGCCACUUAGGGGCUGUCGGAACAAACGGUGGAGCGGUGAAAUGCGUAGAUAUCGAGAGGAACACCUGCGGCGAAGGCGGGUUGCUGGGCUGACACUGACGCUGAUGCGCGAAAGCCAGGGGAGCGAACGGG
rnacentral:rRNA from 1 species